rnacentral:lncRNA from 1 species
AAAAACUAUAAAUAUAGUGGUAGAAUAUUGCCUAUCACAGCCUGCAUCAAUAUUUCAAAACUGCUGCCCACUCAGUUGAUGACACUUCUCUGUUCUACUGAAGCCUGCAAGGGAAGCAGUCCUUCUAUCCUGAGAUGGGUGGGGAGCAUCAGUGUUCAGUAGAUUUCUAUUUCUCUGCAUGGCCUACAGAAUCAAUAUAGUAGAUUAAUUUAGUCCAAACCUAAUUUUCAGGCAGCUCCAUUUACUUUAGGUAAAAUGAAUGCUCUCCUCUGAAAGUGUGAAAUAGAGCAUGAAGAACUGAGCAAGCACCAGGAAGGACUUCCCAGACCUAGCAGCAGGCUCAGGAUGCAGCUAGUGUGUCCAGGCUCUGGCAUGGCCAGUCAGAAGAGAAAUUAUUCAUGGAUGUGGCAGAGGGUCUGCUGAGUACCGCGUCCAGCAAGGAAUGAAUGGGACUGAAGUGGAUGGAUACCAUCAUGGCAGUAGCAUCUUCCAGCAGAGGAUUUAUGGUGCCUCUGCGGAUGGAUUAAACUUGGCAGUGCUACAAAUAACACAUUCUCUACUGGAGAGUGUGUUCACAGAGAAGGAGAGUGGAUGACAAGAUCUGUAAGGAGAAGAGAGCAGCUCUGAGGCACGUAUGUGUGUACAGAAUAUGCCUUGGUGUU